GAGAGAUAGAGGCCGAUAGAAUCUAUCCUUUUUAUGCGCUAGUCUUAGAAGUCACUUAGAUGACUUCUGACACAUUUUGUUAGUUAGAAGCAUGUAACUGAAUCUAGCCCUCAUUCAAGGAAAGGGGAAUGAAACUCCACUGCUUGAAGAGUGGAUGAAUUAUCAAAGAAUUUUCAGACAUAUUUUAAAACCACCACAUUGAUUAUAUUUUUAGCAAGGCUUUUCUGUCUGAUAUGCUACUUUACUAGUCACAUUCAUGUUCUCCAAAUUCUUUCUAAACUGCUCACUCAAUUUCAGGAAGUCUAAUGUGUCAAUAUCUCUCAGGUCCCAACCACCAUCUCCCUGUGUCCCACUGCCAUCAAAAUGAGCAUACAGAACUGAAAACAAACCCACUCCUUUUCCCUCUACUCCCCUCCACAUCUCUCACCAUGCCAGCCACCAGCUGUGGUAGAACAAAGCCAGAAAUAAUUGCAUUUGCUAGAAGAAUAUAGGUAAAGAGAAAAUUACCACUGAAGUUUGAUUUCAAAAACAACAGUUCAAAAGGGAAUAAAAGGAAAAUGCAACAAACAGAAGAAAAUAAACUUUCUUGCUUAAUAACAAUAUUCCACGCCCUUUGAAUUUUUUUGCUUGGGGUAAGGAGGGCUGGGAGCAGAAAGUGUGUAAGUCUAAUUUUCUAAUAUAAGUUGUAGAAAAGAAUAAGAAGUGAAGAUCAAAGAAUGAGGGAAUCGAGAGCCUAUUCAAAGGCGUUGAGACACAAAUGACACUACAUAAGCUUCCGACGUAAGAUCCUUCAUGAGAGGACUUGCCCUCGGACGACCCACAGCUCCAUCAUGUCUUAUCUCUGGCUAUAUUAAACCUCAGAAUAAUUACUGUCCCUUCAACGCUAUCUUUUUGUAACACCCACA
rnacentral:lncRNA from 1 species